GAUGAACGCUGGCGGCGUGCCUAAUACAUGCAAGUCGAGCGAACAGACGAGGAGCUUGCUCCUCUGACGUUAGUGGCGGACGGGUGAGUAACACGUGGAUAACCUACCUAUAAGACUGGGAUAACUUCGGGAAACCGGAGCUAAUUCCGGAUAAUAUAUUGAACCGCAUGGUUCAAUAGUGAAAGACGGUUUUGCUGUCACUUAUAGAUGGAUCCGCGCCGCAUUAGCUAGUUGGUAAGGUAACGGCUUACCAAGGCAACGAUGCGUAGCCGACCUGAGAGGGUGAUCGGCCACACUGGAACUGAGACACGGUCCAGACUCCUACGGGAGGCAGCAGUAGGGAAUCUUCCGCAAUGGGCGAAAGCCUGACGGAGCAACGCCGCGUGAGUGAUGAAGGUCUUCGGAUCGUAAAACUCUGUUAUUAGGGAAGAACAAAUGUGUAAGUAACUAUGCACGUCUUGACGGUACCUAAUCAGAAAGCCACGGCUAACUACGUG
rnacentral:rRNA from 1 species